UUCUUGAUCUCGAAUCGCUUAGGCUUCUUGGAUGAAGAAGAGGCACCGUGAGAGCAGCAGGAGCUCUCGCCGGCGGGAACCAUUGGAACGUCGGAAUCGAGUGUCGCCAUGUCUCUCAGCUUUUUUUCACUGAACCAAAGGCACUUCUAGCUUUUUCUACUCUCUACCUUCAGAUUCUUAUUUUAUUUAAGGGUAGAGAAUAAGUUUUCUCUGUGGAGAUUAUUUGACUUGAAAAUCAGGAAAAAAAGAUUUUA
rnacentral:lncRNA from 1 species